AUCCUGUGCAAGACUGCCUUUUCCAGCUCAAACUUGCAAAGUGACAGCAACAUUGCACCGUAUAAAUGCAGCCAUUCUGUUACAAUGAUAAAUUCCAAGAUCUCCAGCCUGCAGAUUCAAGGAAAAGAUGGUUUGGAUGAGAUGUUCCUGGUGUAACCUCUGUGAAAUGAAGCUAUGAAGACUCUUGACCACCAGUGAGAGAUGUGUAACCAAUAAAAGUAUGAUGAGUUCUGCUGCCUCUGCAGAAUGCAACCAGG
rnacentral:lncRNA from 1 species